AUGUCUUUAUAUCUUAUGUAUAACAGCAUGGAACAGAGCAUGCAGCCUCGUGUGUACUUUCGCUGGCUGCGAAUCUGUGUGACACACCUGCGGAGGAUGGGUUCCCACUCACGGGCGGCGCACUUGACCCUGGUUGUUUGUACCAUGUCUAUCAGACACCGUGGGUCGAGUGCUUUCUCAGUCUGCUCUUGGUCUGCACUGCGCCUGCGAACAGCUACCGUGUUUCACCACACCGCUGGGAUCACGCACUGGACUCCAGGCUCGGUAUGGAGACACUGGAAAAAGAGGGUCUGAAGAAAGACUAUAAGGAACCAGAUGACAACCAAGGUAUGAGUCGAAACCUUGUUUGCAAAUAUGGCACCGAAUGCGGCAGAGAGAAAGUUCACCCGGGGCCGUAGGAGAUAAUUAAACACAGAGGAGAUCUGUCUCUGAGUCUAUUCUGUACCCGCCGUGUAGCUCACGGGCUCAUUCUGCAUUCAUAUGGCUACUCCACACUGGUGAUUUGAACAUAGUUCUUACCUCCUUACAUUUUAUCCUUACAUGAUCCUGCAUACUCAGCAGUACUGUACGUGCCCUAGUGUUAAAACUAUUGAGAAAACAAAUAAUUUGUAAAAAUGAUCUGUAUUCAUUCAAAGAGCCUUUGCAAUUCUACUUACCAAUGAGGGCAUUUAGCACGUGCUUUAUGAGAGACAAUGCCUUGAAAAGUGUUGCUAAGGAUUAUAUCUCACUUAUAGCUUGUCAUAAAUAAUUUAUGCAAAUAUUUUAACGCGCUUGUCUUGUGCCAACAUUACUUUAAAAAAAAAGAAAAAAGUUGUUAGGAUUUAUUUUUUCAAGGGAGGAAUUUGUUACGUCAGCUGUCUACAAGUACAUUCAUACAAUAUUACCUUAACUUAUGCAUAUUUAUUGUAAGUAAAACACGAACAAUAAAGUUACAAUAAAGUUCA
rnacentral:lncRNA from 1 species